rnacentral:lncRNA from 1 species
AGGCCCCUUGCACCACUGUACGUGAACCCUGCCAGGCGCUGGGGCUCCCUGCUGGGGAGGUCUCAGACCCAGACCAAAAGAGGACCACUACCGGGGUUGGAGGGUGUCACAGAGGAUGCAACCCCAAAACGGGUCUGGAAGGAAGGCUGGGAUGUAAGUGAAAGGAAGUGGGGCCAUGGAAGCAGCGUGGACAAGGCAAGGAGGCUGAAAGUGAAGAGAGCCGCAGCCCAGAAAGGGAAGGUGGGGCCCGGGUUGGACACUGCCCAGGUCCUGGGUUCCUCCGUUGCCCUCUGCCCGUGGUCAAAGUUCAGUCCCUCCAAAGGGCUCUUCUGGGGGCUUUGGUCAGGCCCUCCGGAGCGCUCGGGGCCGCCAAGGGCACACGAGCCUGCCCGGCCACAAGCGGGCCUGUGCCUGGCGGCGGGGUCCGGAGUGCGCCCGGGGCUGGCGCAGCCCACACGCGUGCACACGGCGGGGUCCGCGCGGGCCGGAAGCCACAGGGCCAGAGCGGGGCGCCGGGAAAGGCAGAGGGGAGCGCGAACAAAGGACACAACAGAGCGGGGGCGGCCCGGCCAGGCAGUGAUAGGCGGCCGGGGUCGGGAGCAGCGUCCGGGCCGGGCCGUGAUUGGGCCGCAGCCUCUCCGGGGGCCCCGGCGCCCGCCCGCCCCUCUCGGCCGAAACCCGAGCCGCCAUCUGCGCCCGGGCGGGGCGCGGGCCCGAGUCGGGUUCCCGCCCAGCCCCGCCGCCAGCCCUCGUCGCGGGCCGGCAACCUGUGCACCGGCCUCCCCCGCUGCCACCCCGGCCCAGCUGCGCUCAGGGUCCCCGGGGUCCAAGCAAAGGGUUGGGCCACCGCCGUGGGGGAAAAGCCCGAUGGGCACUGGAGGGCCAGCGGGCCCGAGGGGACAGGGGACAGGGCCCAGAAAGCAGCUCCGUCCUGGGCCUGGCCGUGGCUGGUGGCUGGACUGGGAGAGCGCUCAGAGAACAGGGGACAUUGGAGAGGGCGGGUUGGGGUUAAGACCAGUUAGUGGAGGAGGCCGCAGGCUGAAGGACGGCUCAGGGAGGGGUGAUUCGAUGGCCGGAACCCGGCAGCUCCAGGAGUCACUGGGACCGAAGGCGGCGCCAGAAUGCCAAGCGGGGUCCCGGCAGGGUUUGGAGCAGGAGAAGUUGUUUGCAGUUCACUACCAGCCAGGCCACUGCUGGGUGGUUUAA